CGGCGGUCAUAGCGUGGGGGAAACGCCCGGUUCCAUUCCGAACCCGGAAGCUAAGGCCCACAGCGCCGAUGGUACUGCAACCGGGAGGUUGUGGGAGAGUAGGUCGCCGCCGGACA
rnacentral:rRNA from 3 species